AAAAAAAAUGCAGUUGUUUUUUUGUGUGUGUUUUUUAGCGCUUUUGGAAGAAGUACUUGUUUGUUUAUGUGAUGCUGGGGCUCAGAUCCAGAGCUCUACAGUCUAAGCAAACAGUCUACCUCUGAACCAUAUCCUAGCCCUGGAAGAAUUAUCUUAAUCAUCAACAAUUUAGUAUAUUAGUUUAAAUAAUUUUUGCCUAAUCAUUAACAAUUAACUAGGACCUUUUUU